CCGGUAGCCACCGUGAUGUCCUGACACCGCCCCAAGAAGCGACAGUUACCCUGGUUCCCUCGAAGCCAGCACUGUGACCUGAGGUCCCCACACCCCACAAGGAAAGGAGUCAGGGAGAACCAGUGAAACCCACCAUAGUAAUGAAGGCAACUCCUUGUUCUACCUAAAACAGCGCUUUUUCUGCUAUCCUCAGAAUAUUCAGCAAAUGCAACUGCUAAGAAAAGGUAACUUUUGCACUCACUCUUUCUUUUCCUGGGGAGGUGCUUCCAGAUUAACAUUCAACUCCUGCAGCUGCUCAUCAUCCUUUGCUUCUUGCCUUCCUCUAGCAUCAGGGCUUAUAUGAAGUGUGCCAAUCUUUUCAGUAGUUUUGCGUACAAAGCUGGAAACACUAGGAGUCAGAAGUUCAGAUAUUUAAAAUGGUAAGUACAAAUCUGAACACAUCACUUUCUUUCCAUUCAAACCAUGAUUUCAGAAAACUUUAUAAUCUGAAGAAUUCUCAAGAAAAGGUUAAGAGCACCAAUGACCAACAAGAACAAAAUUCACUAAUAAGCUGCUCAAAAUUCUUACUUCAGUCAUGGUUCAUACUUUCAGCACAGAAUAAAACCCUGAAUUAUUGAAGACUUGGAUUUUUUUGCUGCUGGAGAAACAGCAUAUUAACAUUAGUGCUUAUAUCAGGACAUGUAUUUAAAUGCAAAUAAAUGCAGGUUAGCCACAUUGCAUUUUAAAGCUUAUAAAGCAUCAUUAGGAAAUUAUGUCCCUCUUGGGGGUAAGAAACAGUUUUACAGUACUCAAAAUUAAUUCUUCAGAUUAUAAAGCUCACUAUAAAUGUCCUUGUCAUGUCAUCAGUCCCUACCCCUUCAGAUAUUUUAUCCAAGAGGAAGUCCAGUGAGCAUUUUAUUCAAGAGGAAGCCCAGUGAACAUACCAAAACCCAAUUAUUUCUACCACUGCCAUGAAAGGAACUAUAUCAUCCACAGUUGAUCAUAAAAAUCAGCUUCUUGCUUUCUGGCCAAGAACUAGUUUCAGAGCAUCAAGAAAAAAGCAACCAUUUACUUGCUUGCCAGAGCAUAUGGCAUCUUUUACUACACCAAGUAUAGCAACGGAUGAAGGCUGCUGCAGAAGAGAGCACAAAACAAUUGGACUUUAAUGUAUAUAAGGAUUAAAGGUAAACUUAAAAAUCAAUUUUAAGUGUGAUAGUAAUGUAUUUAAUUAUAAAUUGAAUACAGUAAAUACUUGAAUACUUAGUUAUUAUUAACAGAAACACUUAUUACUGGUAAAGUCCUAAAAUUUGCUUACAGUUUAAAAAGAAUUCAAAACAUUCAAAACAAGGUUAUUCUGAGAUCCUUAUACAAUUGAUAGCAGCUACAGUCUUCUGUUGCAGGACAUAUAUUCACAUACCUAAGUUAUUAAGGGAGGGCUAUGCAACUUCUCACACCACCAUUACGGGCCAGCAACAUUUUACCUCAGAAGCUAACAUACAUAGUUUUUUUCAAUUUUUUAUGUUUUUAACACCAUCUCCUUUACGUGUGUGUGUGUGUGUGUGUCCCUGUUUUUUAAAGCAGGUUUUAGAGCAGCAAUUUGAUUUCUCAUAGAAUAGACAUUACCAUAUUUACUUGCACUGGGCAUAAGCUACCAUUAUUCCAUAAACACUUGGGAAAUUGCUUAGAUUCACUGAAAGGUGCAUAUGGGGAGAUAGCAGACCAUGCGGUAUAAUUUGCAGCUGUGUUUUAGCACUAUCUAGCAUGCUUUGAAUAUUUUAAUGUUUGUCCCUAAACAACAUCAGAAGCCUUCACUCAUUUGUAAGAAAUCUAAGUACCAGAAAAGCAAAAUCCCAAACCAAUAUUCAGUAAGUUUGCUUUAAAGACAAAUCACAACCACAGUUCACAAGGCAGUGUUAAACAUUCUCAGUCAUUUAAGCAUUCUUAGCCAUUUCAAAGCAGAGGUUGAAAUCUUGGCUCCACUGAAGUUAACAGCAGUUCUAACUUCAUUUGAGAAGCUCUAAAUAGCCUAGCAAACUUGACUGCAUCUCCAGUGUUUCAGUUCACGUGUUACGUUUUUGCAGAACAUAGCAUGAACUAAACCAGACAAGGCUACAAAUUCAGAGGACAGAAAAGGGAAAGAUGUAAUGGACGGGUGAACCUGCUGCAUGUUUUACCUUUCUUUGACAGCUUGGAGAGAGACGAGAGGAGAUGGGGAACGAAAUGACAAAGGAAUACUGAAUGGAAGAAAUGUCUCAUUCCGGUCAGCUUCAACUGUCACAGAUGUAUGAGAUACGUUGUCUAACAAAUGGAAUUGAAAUAAAGAGUCAUGAAACAGUGACCUGACAAAAAUGGAACAGUGAAACUAACUGCAAGUCACUAAUUCAUAAAUGGAUAACCUGCAUGAGAUAUUUUCCUCUUUAAUACUCAGGAAUGUGUGGAACCAGAAAAGUGCUACUUGGUUUCAAGAGCCAUUUUAUUACUGACUUUGGACCUAGUUAAGUCUGCUUUGUUAACAGUCUUUUGGCUCUGUAACAAGGCAAAUUAUGAUCAACAACUGUAUGAAAAUGAUCUUCUACAACUAGAUUUACAGUUCAUUUAGGGGACAAAAAUCUUAAUUUAAUCUACUGCCAGCUAUUUAAAUAUCUAGGAAAAUGAAGUAUUAUGGCAUACAUAAAUUUACAAUGCAUGGUUUCCUAAAAUCUAAAUCACAUAUGAGCACACAGAGACAUAAAAGCCAUGGUUAAGAUAUAAAUUACCCUUUUAUCUGGGCAGACUUAAAGAUAUAAUUAAGCCCAUAGCUCUCUGGCAUUUGAUACGAACCACAGGAAAUACAGAAUCACCGACUAUUGCCUUUUCCCUGGCAGUAUCUACAAUGUUUUUUGAGUAAUCAUUUCCUGGUACAAACAUACACACUGUAUCUUUAAGUGAUGUAAAAAAGAAAAAAAAGGAUCCUUUUAAGUAAGGAUGACACUGCAUUUUGCAACAGUCAGCACUGCCUGCAUUGUUGAGAGGAAAAGAAGCUCUGUAGUUACAGAAAUUCUACCAUGAGAAUCCACAGCAUCUAGAUAGUACCUAAAGGUCACAAGUGAUUAUAUGAUUGCUUGUAAAUAAGGCUGCUUUUGUUCAUUACACAUAUUAGAAAUGUAAAAACUUCUGACAUCUGACGUAAAUGUGAGCAGGGAAAGACUAAAUCCGUUUUCUCAAAUAGAAUCAUAGAAUAGUUAGGAUUGGAAAGGACCUUAAAAUUAUCAAGUUCCAACCCCCUGCCAUGGGCAGGGACACCUCACACUAAACCAUGCCACCCAAGGCUCUGCCCAGCCUGGCCUUGAAUACUGCCAGGGAUGGAGCAUUCACAACUUCCCUAGGCAACCCAUUCCAGUGCCUCACCACCCUAACAGUAAAGAAUUUCUUCCUUAUAUCCAAUCUAAACUUCCCCUCUUUAAGUAUACAUGCUUCAAGAAGCAUCUAGAACUUCUAUGCUUUGAAAUAAUCAGUAAAUUUGUUGUCUCUUCUUGAGCAGAUAGAACUUUUCUAUCUUUUGAGAUUCAAAAACUGCAUCCCUUCAUUUUAGUUUUAAUACUGGAAAUUAAACACACCCUUCCAAGUUUGUGAUACAAGUAAAGACACACAUGUAAAAGCAAGUGCUACGAACAGCAUGCAGCUUAGUCAGCAGGACAACACUACUGACAAAUAGGGAAGUAAAUACUAAUCUUUAUGCUCUCCCUCCCCAGUGCAGUUUUCCCUGAAAAAGCAUCCAAAAUUCUCUCCAUCUUCAACUGGCAUCUACUCUCUGCAGAAGCUAAAAAGGAGCCUUUUUAUUGGAAAGCCUUUCCAGCAUACCUGGAACUAAGCCAGCUCCUCAUCAUGCCAGGUUUCUGCAUCCCCUCCCAAUCCCAACCACAGCAGAGAACAAGACCACUGCUGUCCAUUUAGCUUUCGUCCAGCGACAGAUAUUUGUUAGGUGGAG